GUGGUUUUAAGAGGUGCUGCUAUAAUGAAAAAUCACAGGCUCACCCAAGAACUACCGUGGAAUCAGAACCUCUAGGGAUAUGGCCCUAGAAUCUGAAUUUUAAGCCAGUUCCUGAGGUGCAAUUCAGUUUGAGAACUACAGUCUUAAGGCAAAACCUUUCUAUCAUACCAGAGCUUCCAAUUGUCAGGCCCUUUGAAUCCACCCUUUGUGUCAAACCUUAGAUAAUUCAAGAGACAUAACAAACGUGAUCAUGUUACAUGCUUCCUCACAGAUUUCAGUGUCUCCCAUUUCUUCUAUUAGUUUAAAAAACAUAGUCCACCAUCACAGGGCCCUGUUUAAGCCAGCUCCUCCUCUGUGGCUCUGCCUUUGUGGUCAACCUGUGCAAAACUUUGAGGCUGUGACAUCACUUAGUCAGUCUCCAACAUUUGGAACAAGAGAACUUUUUCUAACAAUUUGAUCCCAAUUCCUAUUUUAAGCUUGAGCAUUAUGAAGGCUGUAUCUGUAUAUAAUAUUGAACACUUCAAAACAAUUUUAGAUCUUAAUUAUUUUGUUAUUAAAAUGUUGGGGGUGUUUAAGUUGACAUUGAGUCAGAUGUAGGAACUGAUAUACAGUGAAGUUAAAUCCUUUAGGGUAAACUCAUUCAGUGGUAGAGGCUGAACUACAGAGCCUAGGCAUUCUGACAUUCCACCACUGUGCUUAUCAGCUUGCUCCUUGAGCAAACCUUUUCCUGCCUUUAUGAGAAUAUGCCCAUUUUAUGGGCUCUGUAUCUAUGAGAUAUUUUACCUAUGCUUAUGUACACAUGGUGUUUAUCUUUCAAAGCUGGACUAUGGAAAAGCCUAAUUUUACAAACAUGUUAGUAAAAGAUUAUGUAAUCUGAGGUGAUUACGUUUAAAAUGGCAAUGAUAAUGAUGUUAAUUCCAGUCCUGUGAGGUACUGUUUCUGAUCUGGAAAGAGCAGUUUUCUUUUUUAACAGCUUAUUUUGUAUUUUCAUAAUCCAUUUUAAGGUUUGGUAUUAAUAUAGACAUGAGAAAUAAAAUAUAACUGUUGCCAUGCCAAAUGUAUAUCAAAAAGUUGCUAAUAGCCAUGACUGCUAUUUGGUUAACUGUAUUUCACUAUUUAAAUAAAAUGAUGGAAAAUGGUGUGUCUAGGAUCUCAUUCAUAAUAAUGAAAGACAAUAGAAACUAUUAGCAUAGGUAUGAUGCUAAUGAAUGGUAAAUUUUCAAUAGAGAUCCAUCGACCAGAUUGUUUGAAAAAUGUUUCCUGUGGGUACGAAAAAUGCACACAAACAAACACAUGCAUCAAAAUGUCCAUAAUUAAGUUUUUAGGGAAAAAUAACAAUAUAUGUUGGUUAAGGACUUUCACUUAAAUGGCAUUAUAGAUCUUUCAGAAAUGAGAGUUGAUUUAUACUUCAGUAUUUUGGUUCCCAAAGGUUGGGACAGUGGGUGGUAGAGGAGAAGUAGAGUAAAUGGAAGGUAUACAUGUAUGUGUGUGCAUAUGGGCAACUUUAAGCACCUUGAAUUUAAUGAACAAAAAAUGUCAUUAUUCUGUGUUUAUAUAUUUUUGUGUGAAACAAGUACCUUUCUCUAUCACUGGAGUUUACAUGGAUUUUCUCAUGAUAUCUUUUGAGAAUCUCUUUAAACACUAAAAUACAUUUUUCCAAAUGAAAACUCCCAUAAUUCUGCUUUAUUAAUAUCUGAAUGAAUAUUUCCAUUGAUUUGUCCAGAAGAAGGAACUGAGUACUGUUUAGAGAGCAAUCUUUUUCAUGAUAAUUGGCAGCAAUGUUUCCCUGCUAUCAGAAAGAAAACUAUAGAAAUACGAAACUUUAGAUAAACAUGGAGAUAAAAAUAAUAUUAUGGAGUCCAACUGGUAUCUUUGAGGUGAGGACAGGCUGAGAUGGACUCCUUGGCUUCCUUCUGUCCAAAAAUUUCCUGUUUCCCUAUUUCCUACGGUUACCACCAUGGAACAUGUUAAAAUCUCAGUAGGGACUCUGUUUCAACUUUUCCUGUCAAAACACAGUGAAAAAGCUUAAUGGAAAAAAAUGUCCUUCCUAUCUCCAUGCCAGGCACAGUGUAAGAUCCACAAACUUAAAAGCCAGGAAAAUAUUCUUUUAUGUGCCCCAAAGCUGGGCAAGUGACCUAGUACUACAAAAAUUCCCAAAUAGGCAUGUGACCUGACUAAUGUGUGCUGUGAGAUGAGUCAAGAAAAAUGGAACCAUCUGUACUUUUAUUGGACAGUCAAAUAAUUUCUUUCUGUCCACCCAAAAACAUAAUUUCUAUGUUAAGAGUGAUACAAGGAGACUUUUAGAAAGUCUAAUUUUUAAAAUCAGAGAUAUUAAAAUAUAUGAAAAGUAUAACCUAUUAAACACUGGUGGAGAUAAGCAAAUAGGCUUAUGAAAUCAUUAUUGCUUUAAAAAUUUGUUACCUACUCAUUGUGUACUAAGGCUUCUCUACGACAUACAGAAGAGGCCGGUGCGGUGGCUCACGCCUGUAAUCCCAGCAUUUCGAGAGGCUGAGGCAGGUGGAUCAUGAGGUCAGGAGUUCAAGACCAGCCUGGCCAAGAUGGGGAAACCCCGUCUCUACUGAAAAUACAAAAAAAAAAAAAAUUAGCUGGGCAUGGUGGUGGGCACCUGUAAUCCCAGCUACUCUGGAGGCUGAGGCAGAGAACUGCUUGAACCUUGGAGGCGGAGGUUGCAGCAAGCCAAGAUUGCCCCACUGCACUCCAGCCUGGGUGACAGAGCAAGACUGUAAAAAAAAAAAAAAAGAAAAGAAAAAAAGACAUACAGAAGGAAAUCAGGGAAAAUGGGAAAAUGAAGGGAAUUAACAAAUUGCAAUAAUCUUUAAGAAGUAGAGUAUGAACAAUUUUCCUUUUCUAGGAUGAAAGCUACCAACAACUGAACUCUUAGAGUGAGUGAUGGCAGAAAAAAAUAGCAAUCAAGAAUAGGGGCAUGUUAGUUUUUAGACAUGUUUACAAAACUCUGCCUUUUAUUUCUUAAACCCAUAGGUCAACCACCCAUCAUACCUACAUUACCCCAUAUGACAAGUGGAUUUGUUGUAUGUUUCAAGUUUUUAAUCUUGGUGGGAAGGGGGAGGGCAGAGAAGUAUUUAUUGGUAAAAUAUCAUAAUAAAGGUUGAGCCUGUCAAUGAUUGUACCUAACAAUAAUAAAUAUGUGUAGGAAGUAAGAACGGCAAAAAUGAAGCCGGGUAGGAUACUGUGGAUAUGGUGACAGACAAGUAUCUAUACGAAAUCCUGAGAUAUUUGUCCUCCAUUUCAUAAAUUAAAGUGCCCCCUCUUUUGCUUUACAGAUAAGGAAACUGAGGUGCAUUAUAAUAGCAACAGCAGCUGAUGUGUAGUAGAUCCAUACCACAAGCCAGACGAGGCACAAGUCAACCAGAGGUUAUGCAAUUAGCUUGGAGUCAAAGAGAAAGCAAGGAGUAGAGCUGAGAAGGAAACCCCAGUGUGAACUUGAUUUUUAUUCAAUCAAACUGUUAAGAAACACAUGCCCUGGGAUUAAAAGGGGAUUACUUUGGUC
rnacentral:lncRNA from 1 species